UCCGGUGGAAUCGCAGAUUGAAUUGGACAAUGAGAAGAGAAGGAGUUCAAUGACUGGAAUCUCUCUACCGGGGGCGAUGAUCACUUACAGGAUUUGUGUUCAAACUGAUUCAUCUUCAGUUCCCAAAGCUACCUACGACAACACGGAUUUUGAAUCGAAGCAAUAGAUAUAUGCGUGCUUCGGUUUCGCUGUUUGAUAUAGUUCAGGCAUUCAAGGAUGUAACAGAUCGAAGAAUUUUGGGAGUUAAAGUUUGAAUGGGCCAAAAUGCAUAAGUGGAAUAGGACAUCUAUUGAUACCGAUGUCUUUAAAGAAAAAACGUUGGUCCCUCCAGUGGUCUCAAGAUGCAAAUCGACACUCACAGAUGGAAGCUUUUUUGUUUUCUGCGAGUACCCUACAUGAGCUCUCGUUUCUGAGCGGAGUACAACCACCUCUAGCCAUGGUACAACACGUUAAUGCACGGAGGACGCUGAAAACGAGAUUUUGCAGUUAUACGUGGAACAUUACAGAAUAAAAACUUUUGGUGCCACAUUUGUACUGGGAUAACCAAAAUAGGUGGAACAAGAAAAUGGGGGAGAUGAGACAAUAUUGGUAAAUUACUAAACUACCCAUAUCAAGUUAGAACCUAAAACCAUGUAUAAUUUUUCCAUCCGUCUACCAUAUUCUUGCCUGUCCAAACCUUUCUGUGUACACUAUGUGUUUGGUAUGCGGAACAUGACCGAAUUGUUGUCUUAUGUUUGGUGCAAUAUUUAGAUUGGGACAAGACAAUACUGAGAGGGAUAACCACCAAUCUACCAUAACAGGUGGAAGAAAAAUACAGGGAGUUGGAGACAAGAUUGGUAAAUUACUAAACUAGCAAUAUCAAAUCAGAACCCUAAAACCUUGCAUAAUUCUUUCACCAUUCUACCUCAUUCUUGUCUGUCGUCUCCGUCUGGUUCAGAUCGUACCAAUUAUGCUAGAAAACAAUUGUUUUGAUGGUUAGGGAAAUAGUUUAAUUGGGUUCUCGUUAAGAAUUGUUUCUUGUACGCUUACUGAUCAUAAGUGCUUAAAUUUGUAAAUUUCCAACCGUGUGUGGGACCGUCUUAUGGAAAAAUUGGUUUUCGGGUUUGGUUUCAA